rnacentral:rRNA from 1 species
UACGGAGGGAGCUAGCGUUGUUCGGAAUUACUGGGCGUAAAGCGCACGUAGGCGGCUUUGUAAGUUAGAGGUGAAAGCCCGGGGCUCAACUCCGGAACUGCCUUUGAUACUGGCAAUCUUGAGACUGGAAGAGGUUAGUGGAAUUCCCAGUGUAGAGGUGAAAUUCGUAGAUAUUGGGAAGAACACCAGUGGCGAAGGCGGCUAACUGGUCCAGUACUGACGCUGGAGGUGCGAAAGCGUGGGGAGCAAACAGG